GGGGAAUUUUCCGCAAUGGGCGAAAGCCUGACGGAGCAAUACCGCGUGAGGGAUGACGGCCUAUGGGUUGUAAACCUCUUUUUUNCNNUUNGGGGGGGGGNAAACCAAAGNGNGGCCCCNNAAAAAAAAAAACNNGGNUAANCCCCGGCCNACCCCCCNCGGAAANCAGGGGNANCCAAUGUUAUCCGGAAUCACUGGGCGUAAAGGCGUCUGUAGGUGGUUUAAUAAGUCAACUGUUAAAUCUUGAGGCUCAACCUCAAAAUCGCAGUCGAAACUAUUAGANCUAGAGUAUAGUAGGGGGUAAAGGGAAUUUCCAGUGGAGCGGUGAAAUGCGUAGAUAUUGGAAGGAACACCGAUGGCGAAGGCACUUUACUGGGCUAUUACUAACACUCAGAGGCGAAAGCUAGGGUAGCAAAUGGGAUUAGAUACCCCAGUAGUC
rnacentral:rRNA from 1 species